rnacentral:rRNA from 1 species
GACGAACGCUGGCGGCGUGCCUAAUACAUGCAAGUAGAACGCUGAAGAGAGGAGCUUGCUCUUCUUGGAUGAGUUGCGAACGGGUGAGUAACGCGUAGGUAACCUGCCUUGUAGCGGGGGAUAACUAUUGGAAACGAUAGCUAAUACCGCAUAACAAUGGAUGACACAUGUCAUUUAUUUGAAAGGGGCAAUUGCUCCACUACAAGAUGGACCUGCGUUGUAUUAGCUAGUAGGUGAGGUAAUGGCUCACCUAGGCGACGAUACAUAGCCGACCUGAGAGGGUGAUCGGCCACACUGGGACUGAGACACGGCCCAGACUCCUACGGGAGGCAGCAGUAGGGAAUCUUCGGCAAUGGGGGCAACCCUGACCGAGCAACGCCGCGUGAGUGAAGAAGGUUUUCGGAUCGUAAAGCUCUGUUGUAAGUCAAGAACGGGUGUGAGAGUGGAAAGUUCACACUGUGACGGUAGCUUACCAGAAAGGGACGGCUAACUACGUGCCAGCAGCCGCGGUAAUACGUAGGUCCCGAGCGUUGUCCGGAUUUAUUGGGCGUAAAGCGAGCGCAGGCGGUUUGAUAAGUCUGAAGUUAAAGGCUGUGGCUCAACCAUAGUUCGCUUUGGAAACUGUCAAACUUGAGUGCAGAAGGGGAGAGUGGAAUUCCAUGUGUAGCGGUGAAAUGCGUAGAUAUAUGGAGGAACACCGGUGGCGAAAGCGGCUCUCUGGUCUGUAACUGACGCUGAGGCUCGAAAGCGUGGGGAGCGAACAGGAUUAGAUACCCUGGUAGUCCACGCCGUAAACGAUGAGUGCUAGGUGUUGGAUCCUUUCCGGGAUUCAGUGCCGCAGCUAACGCAUUAAGCACUCCGCCUGGGGAGUACGACCGCAAGGUUGAAACUCAAAGGAAUUGACGGGGGCCCGCACAAGCGGUGGAGCAUGUGGUUUAAUUCGAAGCAACGCGAAGAACCUUACCAGGUCUUGACAUCCCGAUGCUAUUUCUAGAGAUAGAAAGUUACUUCGGUACAUCGGUGACAGGUGGUGCAUGGUUGUCGUCAGCUCGUGUCGUGAGAUGUUGGGUUAAGUCCCGCAACGAGCGCAACCCCUAUUGUUAGUUGCCAUCAUUCAGUUGGGCACUCUAGCGAGACUGCCGGUAAUAAACCGGAGGAAGGUGGGGAUGACGUCAAAUCAUCAUGCCCCUUAUGACCUGGGCUACACACGUGCUACAAUGGUUGGUACAACGAGUUGCGAGUCGGUGACGGCGAGCUAAUCUCUUAAAGCCAAUCUCAGUUCGGAUUGUAGGCUGCAACUCGCCUACAUGAAGUCGGAAUCGCUAGUAAUCGCGGAUCAGCACGCCGCGGUGAAUACGUUCCCGGGCCUUGUACACACCGCCCGUCACACCACGAGAGUUUGUAACACCCGAAGUCGGUGAGGUAA